rnacentral:lncRNA from 1 species
GACUGUCCCUAAAGCAAGUGGCAAAGGGCUUGGUGGUUGGUACCCGAGACCCAAAUUCGAAUCCUAGUUGAUUCACAUUUCCAGCUAAGUUUAUUUCUAAAUGAAAUAAGUGAAACGGGUAGCAUGCUACCUAUCUCUCAAAAAAAAAAUAAAAAAAAUAAUUGCCCCCUCGGCAGCUCCCGAACAGACGGUUCGGUAGCUGACGAAAUUCUC